rnacentral:lncRNA from 1 species
CCGACUCCCCGAGGAGUCCUUUCCACCCGAGGGCCAGUGAGCCGGGGAAGAGGACUUCUCACUCCCAGAGCAAGAGGUGUCCCCCCAACUGGAUACAGACCUCCACCGCCACCCCCAACACAGGAGACCUAUGGAGAGUAUGACUAUGACGAUGGGUACAGUACAGCAUAUGAUGACCAGAGCUACGACUCCUAUGACAACAGCUACAGCACCCCAGCACAAAGCGGAGCGGAUUACUAUGAUUACGGGCAUGGACUCGGCGAGGAGGCUUAUGAUUCCUAUGUUCAUCAGAGACAUGUAUCUCCUGUAUGACAUUCACCACUGGUUCUGACAGAUGAAGCUCCUGGGACCUCAUGACAGUGGCCUAAUUAUGAUUCAUCUUCCUGAUUUUAGGGCAAGAGGACUGGACUAACUCAAGACAUAAGGCUCCUUCGGCGAGGACAGCGAAGGGCGUCUACAGAGAGCAGCCAUAUGGCAGAUACUGACUGUACUGUCUGAUGUUGUGAAAUAGCCAAUCUCCACCGUCCUGUAUACUGUUCAAAGUAAUUGUUUUCUAUGACCAAUCCCUUUUUAAAUAAAUCAAAAUGCUUAAAAUCUG